AUUGAACGCUGGCGGCAGGCCUAACACAUGCAAGUCGAGCGGAGCGUCGGAAGGGUGAGUAAUGCCUAGGAAUCUGCCUGGUAGUGGGGGAUAACGUCCGGAAACGUGCGCUAAUACCACAUACUAUCAGAUGAGCCUAGGUCGGAUUAGCUAGUUGGUGGGGUAAAGGCCUACCAAGGCGACGAUCCGUAACUGGUCUGAGAGGAUGAUCAGUCACACUGGAACUGAGACACGGUCCAGACUCCUACGGGAGGCAGCAGUGGGGAAUAUUGGACAAUGGGCGAAAGCCUGAUCCAGCCAUGCCGCGUGUGUGAAGAAGGUCUUCGGGUUGUAAAGUACUUUCAGUCGGGAGGCGUUACCGACAGAAGAAGCACCGGCUAACUCCGUGCCAGCCGCCGCGGUAAUAC
rnacentral:rRNA from 1 species